rnacentral:lncRNA from 1 species
GCUUCCCUUCUCCGAUCUCUCUUUUCUCAGUCGAACUCUGGCAUGCUGUGCACGUGUUCCUUUGGUCCAGCCAUGUUUAACCCGGGUGCAAGUGGAUGGAAAGUUCUAGAACAACGAAGUGGCUACAAGAUCACGGGUGUACCCAGUCCCCAAAGAGGCCUGCUUGAAGACAUGGCAGUUGCACAUCUCUGUGUUUCUGUGUGCUGAGAAUUCAUGGCUACCUCAGCUGAGAUUUGAUGCAGUCAUGUGGAUGGCUUAUUUGUGAUAAUGGUCUACUGACGAGAAUCGAAGACACCAGUGGCAUGUCGAGCCCAGUAUGUGCGGAUACAGUCACCUGGAGGGCUUAUUUGUUAUGUAAGCUAUGUUCAUUCAUCAUUAUGGAAGCUUCAGUUGGUGAUUGUGAUGACUUAAAUCUUUUUUCCCCAGCAGAUCGACCCUGUUGACUUGACUUGAACUAAGCCAAUUUUGUCUGAAUCACCAGUUAUCAAUAUAUUUGCAUGGUCAAGGGUGAUGUCUUUAUAUAUAUCUAAUGCAUACUACCUUUUUUUUUUCAAAUGUAGAAUGGUCUACUGAUAGACUUGAAGACCACCAGUGGCAUGUCGCACCCAGUAUGUGCAGAUACAGUCACCUGGAGGGCUUAUUUGUGAUGUAAGCUAUGUUCAUUCAUCAUUAUGGAAGCUUCAGUUGGUGAUUGUGAUGACUUAAAUCUUUUUUCCCCAGCAGAUCGACCCUGUUGACUUUACUUGAACUAAGCCAAUUUUGUCUGAAUCACCAGUUAACAAUAUAUUAGCAUGGUCAAGGGUGAUGUCUUUAUAUAUCUAAUGCAUACUUCUACCCUUUUUUAACAUUUAGAAUGGUCUACUGACGAGAAUCGAAGACCACCAGUGGCAUGUCGAGCCCAGUAUGUGCAGAUACAGUCACCUGGAGGGCUUAUUUGUGAUGUAAGCUAUGUUCAUUCAUCAUUAUGGAAGCUUCAGUUGGUGAUUGUGAUGACUUAAAUCUUUUUUCCCCAGCAGAUCGACCCUGUUGACUUUACUUGAACUAAGCCAAUUUUGUCUGAAUCACCAGUUAACAAUAUAUUUGCAUGAUCAAGGGUGAUGUCUUCUCUAUCUAAUCUUGCAUACUUCUACCUUUUUUUUAAUUAUUUAGAAUGGUCUACUGACGAGAAUCGUACGACAUAGUUGACUCCACCAGGCUGUCUGUAGGAUGCGGCCAUGUCAGUCCCCAGGGGACCUUGAGUCUGGACACCAGUGAAUUGAUGUGGUGGCCACGCCUCCUGUACUGUGACUUCAUCUGAUAUUUGCAAGACUUUGCACAAGUCAAUUUAUAAGACUUGUACUUUCAUAUAUAUUUUUUUUGUGAAUUGCAUGUCAUGCUUUAGAAAAAGCAGUGGAAUAAAACUUGGUUUGUUUGUAAAAUCA